rnacentral:rRNA from 1 species
AACGAACGCUGGCGGCAUGCCUAACACAUGCCAGUCGAACGAGACCUUCGGGUCUAGUGGCGCACGGGUGCGUAACGCGUGGGAACCUGCCCUUAGGUUCGGAAUAACUCCCCGAAAGGGGUGCUAAUACCGGAUAAUGUCUUCGGACCAAAGAUUUAUCGCCUUUGGAUGGGCCCGCGUUGGAUUAGCUAGUUGGUAGGGUAAAAGCCUACCAAGGCGACGAUCCAUAGCUGGUCUGAGAGGAUGAUCAGCCACACUGGGACUGAGACACGGCCCAGACUCCUACGGGAGGCAGCAGUGGGGAAUAUUGGAGAAUGGGCGAAAGCCUGAUCAAGCAAUGCCGCGUGAAUGAUAAAGGCCUUAGGGUUGUAAAGCUCUUUUGCCCGGGAUGAUAAUGACAGUACCGGGAGAAUAAGCUCCGGCUAACUCCGUG